UCUUAAAGUUCGAGUCGAUGUUUGCAAUGUCCUCGGUAGGAAAGGCCCCCUUUUUCAAGCCGAAACUAAUUUCUGUUCCCAGUUUUGUCGUUUUGGUCAGAACACAACAAGCCCUCCUUUGAUGGUUACACCAAAACCUAAAUCCUUUUUAUCCCCUUUAUCGAGGUUUUCUGGUUCUGUCACUUUUACGGAGAGAAGAAAGAAGAGAUGGAGAAAUCUGACUGUGUCUUCGUCACAAACGAGGGUACGAGAAAGGCAAAGAAGAGACUGAUGGUGGGGAGAUAUGAUAUGAGUGUAUUUUUCUUUUCUUUUCAUCACAAACGAGAUGGUAAGGGUUUUUGGGGGCAAGAAUUACUAUGAUGAAUCUUUGAUUCUUUUCUUGUUAAUUUUCCCCAAGAAUGAACCAUCCAAUCUGAUUAUUACCUUCUUCAGAAACCACCCCUAUUCAUUAUUUACGUCUCUUCAACUUUCUCUCUCUUAUUUACUGUGGUGGCCUCAUCUUUCAUUUUAAAUAGUGCUCAACUGCCCUCCUUCUUAUCCCUCAUACUUGGUGCUAAUAAUCCAUCCCUUUCCUCUGCACAUGCCCCUCUUUUGUGUGGGCGUGAGUAAUUUCAAUGGUAAUUUGGUGUGUUCUUGAUUAGGUCAUGGCGGUUUAUCAAAGGGUUUCCUACAGAAUUUAUUGGCAUUCUGUCCACCUCCAUUCCUAUUAAGAAAGGAUUAAGAAAUUUUAAUCUGAUAUCAUAUAUGGAGGUGGGCAUACUGCCAACUGAGUUCUGUUGAAUUCUUUUUGUAAAACCCUUGUGACACACACUCUCUUGUUUUCAACUGUACACAGACCAAGGUAACGACCCCCUUGCCAUAAAUUUGUGCAAAUUUUUUAAACCUUUUUGCCAUGCAUGUUAAUCUAUUUCAGAUGCUCCAUUUUUGUAUGUGUUAACUUUCUUGGCGUUAAAGUGUUCCUCGAAUUAAACAUAUGGUGCCUGUUUGUAUAUGUUUUUGGUUUCGUUUGGAUCUGUGUUUUGCAGCAAAUCUUGGGGCAAAAAGCUUCAGAAUCAGAUGAAUAGAAAGUAAAGAAUGGAAUAAAAUUUCUGCCAGCUCAACGGUCAAGAUCAUGAAAAGGAGAAAUGGAGCUUUCUCCUUUGAUUUUCAACCAAGAAUAAAAGUUAGCUGGAAAGUUUACCCUAGUAACAAUCGUUUUAUUGCCUUUUCAGUUUGAAUGUUCAAAUCCAGAUAUCUUUCUUCUUGUUCAAAAAACACACACAAAACACACAGUUUGUAGGGCAAGAAUUAUUAGGGCAGUGGCCAUCUGAGAAACCCUUCAUAUAUUGUAGGCUCAUGAUUGAAGUCUGACAUUGCCAUUAAAUUAUGGUGUAGCCCAUCAGGCAUCCGCUCCCAUUAAUUUUUUUCCCCCAAAGAAAUUUACUGACAGUAAAUCAUCAAAAAUCUAACAACCUAUUCGCAUUAAGUACCAUCCUUUAUUAGGUGUUGACGCCAUUUUACGGUAAAAUGAAUAGAUACGUGAAUUUUUAUUUUUAUUUUUGGUAACAUUGUUGAAUGGAUAAAGUGAAUAAAGCUUUAAUCUUUUAUUUUUUUU